rnacentral:lncRNA from 1 species
UCAUUUUCAUUCUCAAUAUUCACACAGGAUCUCCUUACUGAAACUGGCCACUCAACUCUCGAUGAAGCUGCUGGAAGGAUGGCUACUUCGUCUUAUCUUCGAAGUGUCAAACAAGGGUAUUGUGAUGAAAUGAAACAACCUCUGAAGGAACGUCCGGCAGAAAAGGCGUGUUUCUCUGUAACCUUUCUUUCAGACUUACGUUCACAGAUUCAACAUGGAAAAUGAUGACAAAGAACUUGUAUGAAAACUUAAAAGUGAUGCAAGUUCUUGAGAAAACUAGAGUUGAUCAAUUUCAUAUGUAUUCAGGAAGGAGAAUGGAGAGUUAAUAUCUGAUAGAUGAAUAACAUUAUUCAUCAUACUUAAUAAGAUGCAAAAGAUAUUUUGAAGAUCUCCACCCAUUUUCAUUUUUUAUUAAUUUGAUAUUAAUAAAAAUGGAAAUACUAUUAUUUCUACGGACCACAAGUAGACAUACUUAGAGUAAUGUCUAAAUACCAACCCAUUAUUAGUCAAUCCCUGAAAUAAAUAUUUAAAUAAUAUA